rnacentral:sRNA from 1 species
UUUUAUACUUGACAGGAAUGGAAAUUUUUUCUUUUUUUCUUUAAAAAAGAAAAGAUUGAAGUGAACAGCUGAAAACAGC